UGGGGAACAUUGCACAAUGGGCGGAAGCCUGAUGCAGCGACGCCGCGUGAGGGAUGACGGCCUUCGGGUUGUAAACCUCUUUCAUUAGGGACGAAGCGUAAGUGACGGUACCUGCAGAAGAAGCACCGGCUAACUACGUGCCAGCAGCCGCGGUAAUACGUAGGGUGCGAGCGUUGUCCGGAAUUACUGGGCGUAAAGAGCUCGUAGGCGGUUUGUCACGUCGUCUGUGAAAUCCUAGGGCUUAACCCUGGACGUGCAGGCGAUACGGGCUGACUUGAGUACUACAGGGGAGACUGGAAUUUCUGGUGUGGCGGUGGAAUGCACGGAUGUCAGGAAGAACACCGAUGGCGAAGGCAGGUCUCUGGGUAGUAACUGACGCUGAGGAGCGAAAGCAUGGGUAGCGAACAGG
rnacentral:rRNA from 1 species